UUAUAUUCUCCACAGGGGGGGAUGAGAACCCCCGACCGGGGUUCGACAACUGGCAACGCCAGUUGGACAGACCGCGCACGCAGUAAGCGGGCUGCCCCGCAGGGGCGAGCGAAGCAAGUCAAUCCCCCCCUCACCGCCA
rnacentral:sRNA from 2 species